ACAUCUGCCCUGAAGAAGAGAAUAAUCCCGGGAAACUGGGGGUAAUGCUCUAUAGUCCGGGAGGACUGGAAUGUUCUCCGGAUGAAAGAUCCGUCGCUUCAGGAUGAGUCUGCGGCCGAUUAGGUAGUUGUUGGGGUAAAAGCCCAACAAACCUGUAAUCGGUACGGGUUGUGGGAGCAAGAGCCCGGAGAUGGAUUCUGAGACACGAAUCCAGGCCCUACGGGGCGCAGCAGGCGCGAAAACUUUACAAUGCGGGCAACCGUGAUAAGGAAACCCCGAGUGCCAGCACAGGCUGGCUGUCCACCAGUGUAAACAACUGGUGAAGAAAGGGCCGGGCAAGACCGGUGCCAGCCGCCGCGGUAAUACCGGCGGCUCGAGUGGUGGCCGCUUUUACUGGGCUUAAAGGGUCCGUAGCUGGAUCCAUGGGUCCCUUGAGAAAUCCAUCAGCUUAACUGCUGGGCGUUCAGGGGAAACUGUGGUUCUAGGGACCGGGAGAGGUAAGAGGUACUGCCGGGGUAGGAGUGAAAUCCUGUAAUCCCGGUGGGACCACCUAUAGCGAAGGCAUCUUACCAGAACGGCUCCGACAGUGAGGGACGAAAGCUGGGGGAGCAAACCGGAUUAGAUACCCGGGUAGUCCCAGCUGUAAACGAUGCGCGUUAGGUGUGUCAGUGACCACGUGUCACUGAUGUGCCGAAGGGAAACUGUGAAACGCGCCGCCUGGGAAGUACGGUCGCAAGGCUGAAACUUAA
rnacentral:rRNA from 1 species